rnacentral:rRNA from 1 species
GAUUAUGGCUCAGGAUGAACGCUGGCGGCGCGCCUAACACAUGCAAGUCGAACGGUGAAGUCCCUUCGGGGGCGGAUCAGUGGCGGACGGGUGAGUAACGCGUGAGUAACCUGCCCUUACGAGCGGAAUAACGUCCGGAAACAGACGCUAAUACCGCAUGACACGUGCUUCCGGCAUCGGAGGCACGUCAAAGAUUUAUCGCGUAAGGAUGGACUCGCGUCCCAUUAGAUAGUUGGCGGGGCAACGGCCCACCAAGUCAGCGAUGGGUAGCCGGACUGAGAGGUUGAACGGCCACAUUGGAACUGAGAGACGGUCCAGACUCCUACGGGAGGCAGCAGUGGGGAAUAUUGGGCAAUGGGCGAAAGCCUGACCCAGCGACGCCGCGUGAGCGAAGAAGGUCUUCGGAUUGUAAAGCUCUGUUGACAGGGACGAAAAAUGACGGUACCUGUCGAGGAAGCCACGGCUAACUACGUGCCAGCAGCCGC